CGCCGGCCGAGAGUGGGGCGCGGGGCGCUGGAAGGUGGGCGCCGCGGCGGCGGUAGCCAGGCGGGGGCCUCCGCGCGACCCCAGUCCCCGCCCGCCCUCCGCCGGCCGGGCCAGGAGCUUGGAGCCGGUCGGAGUGGAGCUGGUUAAAGAUGCCUGGGUUAGGUAAUCACGUUGACCCCGGGCCACCUACCAAAGUCACUCGGAAGACUGCUACCAGCCAGAACCUUGCAGGUUGGGAAUAAACGGUGCUUUGGCUCAUGGUUUGUCGUUUUUAGUCUUCCACGACCAUACGUUUGCAACCUGUUUACGGGACGAUAGAAUGGAUUGUCCAUAGUUAAAACUACUCUCCACAAAAUCACUUGGCCAUGAUCAGGCACUAGCUCCGACCUACCCUAUGUCUGAACUCUGUGUGGAAAUUUCCAAUAUAAUAGUUUCAAGUUGAUGUGGGAUUUUUUUUUUUCCAGCAUAAGUCUAGUGUAAGCAGAUACCAAGUGGGUAAAAUUUAAAUCUCAUCCAAGAAAGCUUCCUGGUUUGUGAGAGGUGCAGACGGUGGUAGUGGAGGAAAUGCCUGAAGGACAAGAGAUGGCAGCUAGCAGACUCAGCGUGCACAAACUUGCUCCUCACCCCUAAGCAUUUCUGAUAUGUGGGUGCUUUAUCUGUUGAUUAUGGAUCUUUGGUUAAAAAGUUCUCUCAACCAAGGACCCUCACUUUGAAAUUGAGUCUUUGUGGCAUGUAGCCAGGGUAGGUUUCCAGUACAUGAUGUAAGGGGAGAUUCCUUGGGAAUCUUGUUAAUUCUUUCGAUGCACUCACUUUUGUAACUGGUCCUGUUCUUUUAGAUCUCUUUUACAUUUUGGGCCCAUUGGUCAUUACUGACAUAUGUCAGUAUACAGUCUUGUAAUGGAUAGUUGGUUGUAGUAACCUUUUUUCUUGUGACAUAUAAAUCAAUUUGUGUUUUUCUUCUUUCUAUUUCACUUAAAGGAAACUGUCGAAUUGGGCAGAUCAGCAUUUACUCAGCAUAUCCCCCUCCUGUAGGUCUUGUUGACCUUGGUGGCAUCCUAGAGGUCAUGUAUUCAUGGAGAUAAACAGUUCUUGAACAGUUUACUCCAGCUGAUAAAAGACAAAUGGGAAAAUGACUUGACAAAUGCAUAUCUUGAUUUGUUUUGAAAAUCAUUUUUACUCAGCAUUUAUUGCAGUCUGUGCCAAAAAUAUCCUUUGGUAAUUUUUUUUUUUUUGAAAUCUAUU
rnacentral:lncRNA from 1 species